ACUCCUACGGGAGGCAGCAGUGGGGAAUAUUGCACAAUGGGGCGCAAGCCUGAUGCAGCAACGCCGUGUGAGUGAAGAAGGUUUUCGGAUCGUAAAACUCUGUCCUAAGGGAAGAAAAAAUGACGGUACCUUAGGAGGAAGCCCCGGCUAACUACGUGCCAGCAGCCGCGGUAAUACGUAGGGGGCAAGCGUUAUCCGGAAUCACUGGGCGUAAAGGGUGCGUAGGCGGCUUGACAAGCCAGGGGUGAAAGGCAUUGGCUCAACCAAUGUAAGCCUUUGGAACUGUUAAGCUUGAGUGCAGGAGAGGUAAGUGGAAUUCCUAGUGUAGAGGUGAAAUUCGUAGAUAUUAGGAGGAACACCAGUGGCGAAGGCGACUUACUGGACUGUAACUGACGCUGAUGCACGAAAGCGUGGGUAGCGAACAGGAUUAGAUACCCUGGUAGCACAGAG
rnacentral:rRNA from 1 species